UACAGAGGUCUCAAGCGUUGUUCGGAUUCAUUGGGCGUAAAGGGUGCGUAGGCGGCGCGGUAAGUCGGGUGUGAAAUUUCGGAGCUUAACUCCGAAACUGCAUUCGAUACUGCCGUGCUUGAGGACUGGAGAGGAGACUGGAAUUUACGGUGUAGCGGUGAAAUGCGCAGAUAUCGGGAAGAACACCCGUGGCGAAGGCGGUUCUCUGGGACGGUACUGACGCUGAGACGCGAAAGCGUGGGGAGCAAACCGG
rnacentral:rRNA from 1 species